rfam:Oryza barthii chromosome 10, whole genome shotgun sequence.
AAUAGGUGUGGUUUUACACUGUUCAUGUCCAACGUUGAUCGUUCGUUUUAUUUGAAAUUUUUUUAUGAUUAGUAUUUUUAUUGUUACUGGAUGAUAAAACAUGAAUAGUACUUUAUGUGUGACUAAUUUUUUUAAUGUUUUCUUAAUUUUUUCAAAUAAGACGGACGAUCGAAUGUUGCAUACGGAUUUUCACGGCUACACUUAUU